rnacentral:rRNA from 1 species
GACAGAGGAGCCAAGCGUUGUCCGGAUUGACUGGGCGUAAAGCGCACGCAGGCGGUCGCGCGCGUGGGUGUGAAAUCUGGCCGCUUAACGGCCAGGCGCCAUCCCAUACGGCGCGACUGGAGUGAUGCAGAGGUCGAUGGAAUUGCCGGUGUAGUGGUGAAAUGCGUAGAGAUCAGGAAGAACACCGGUGGCGAAAGCGCUCUGCUGGAC